rnacentral:rRNA from 1 species
ACUCAAAUGAAUUGACGGGGGCCCGCACAAGCGGAGGAGCAUGUGGCUUAAUUCGAUGCAACGCGAAGAACCUUACCCGGGUUUGACAUGCAGCUGCACGUCCCGUGAAAGCGGGAUUCCUUCGAGGGUGCUGCACAGGUGCUGCAUGGCUGUCGUCAGUUCGUGCCGUGAGGUGUUUGGUUAAGUCCAGCAACGAACGCAACCCCUGCGCCUAAUUGCCAGCGAGUAAUGUCGGGAACUUUAGGCGGACCGCCCGUGCAAGCGGGAGGAAGGUGGGGAUGACGUCAAGUCAGCAUGGCCCUUACGCCCGGGGCUGCACACGUGCUACAAUGGCCGGCACAAUGGGACGCCAAACCGCAAGGUGACGCAAACCCCCAGAACCGGCCCCAGUUCGGAUAGGAGUCUGCAACUCGACUCCUUGAAGCCGGAUUCGCUAGUAACGGCGUAUCAGCUACGACGCCGUGAAUACGUUCCCGGGCCUUGUACACACCGCCCGU